AUGGGGAUGCUGUGUCCUCACUGUGGGUUCCAACAAGACGAGGCAUAUCACUUGUUCGUCAACGCCGGUGCACGGGCUAGAUUAUCUGUCAACCUACGCAUGCACUUGGAGGCAGACUCUGCAUCCUGCCACCGCAGGAUCAUGGUGUUCGACACGGUGGCCGAGUCAUUCCGGCACAUGCGCCCACCACCGGUUUGUAUCUGGGUAGAUGAGGAAGGCUUUUGUCUUCGAUAUCUCCACAAGUUUGCUGGGGUCAGAGCAGGAGGCAAUGGAGGGACGAGCAUCUUCAAACUUCAGGACCAUCAGCAUGACGUUUGGGCGUUGCAGUACCGGAUCAAGCUGCCACUGAUGGGUACCAGGCGUUUCAAUGAUCAGGGGGAUUGCACCAUGGGUUGCAUGAGAUUUGUCCUUGAGAUGGAGAAGGUAGAAGUCGAUGAUGUCAUUCUUGCUCUGGUACAGGCAGCUCCUGAGCAGCUGUUAAAAUACUACACCAAUGGGUUUCGAGCUGAUAUGGAAUAA
rnacentral:rRNA from 1 species